UCCUGAGCUCAAACGGUCCACUGGCCUCAGCCUCCCAGAGUGCUAGGAUUACAGGUGUGAGCCACUUCGCCCAGCCUUGAUCUGACGUUUUUAACAGGGCUUCUUUGGCUGCUGUGUGGAGAGUAGCCUGUAGAGAACAAGGGAUGAAGCAGGGAGACUUGUUAGGAGGCUAUUGCAAUAAUCCUUUUAUCCAAACAGGGUAAAGUGCUUUAUAAAUCAGUAAGUAGUAAGGGAAAUUUCCAAUCGACUUAAGUAAUUCAGAGACGAAGGACCACAGUUGUUCAUUUAUGUUUUUGUUCAAUGUGACUAGAGAUUAAACGUAUAUAGAACUGGUUUGUGACACGCUGACAGUGUGGUAUCCAAAAGACAUCCACUCAAGAGUAUUUAGGUAGAAAUUGAUUUUCUUAGCCAUUUAAGCAAAAACAUGAUUUCAAGCAGAAUAUUGUUUUUAAAGGCUUAAUAUCAGCACAACCUUUCAUUUAGUGUAAUAUUUUAACCCUCUUUUCUAUUUGUGGAUAUGAGUUGCCAAAGCUAUUAAGGAAUAGACCUUUGUUAAGAUAGUUAUUCCCCUGAUGUUUUUCUGUAUUAUUUUGCCUAUUACUAUAAAUUGCUUUGGGAUUGAAAGAAAAGAAAGCUAUCAAAUUUAUACCUUUGAACUCAAUUAUUGGUCUUAAUCAAAUGUAAUUCUAAACAAAAUGGAUAAGUGUUUUAUUAUGGGUCAAGAGCACAGAUCCAUCUUGUUUUGUUUCAACUGCUGCUUUUAAAUUCCAUGCCUUAGCUGUUGGGAGUUGACUCAGGUCUUAUCUCAAGAAUAUUCUUAAAGUAUCAGAAUAAAAGAUAAAAUGCUUUUAACAAUAAAAGUCAAUUUUUAUUUUAUAAGUCAUUUUGUAAUAAUUAGAACAUUAUUUUAGAAAACAUUUUUUGAUCAUUUUAUGAUCCAUAAAAGGCACUGUAAUAUCUACAUGAGCUCUUCUGAAGCACAAUUCUGCUGAACUUCACUGCCCUGGAACUUUUUGUUAUAAUUUGUAUCAGACUACAUGCAGGAUGUAGUGUUUAGAGGGCAUAAACUCUUGAGUAGUACUUCUCGAACCUUGAUCCACUGAUGUGUACAGACAGACCUUUUUAAUGGUUAUGUAUUUCAUUCAUAUUACAAAAAAAGUCAUCAAAUCCCUUGCUUAGGAUAAGGCCAAUACAUAUAAUAUGUAUGUGUAUAAACAUUUUGAUGAAUUUUUAGGAAAGUAGUAUUAUAGGUGGAACUCAGGUACUGCAGAAUUACGACACGAAUGAAUGAGGACUGUACAGUAGUAUGUUCUCUAUACCAAAAGCAUCAUAAUCACCUAUGAUCUUUAUUAAAAUAUAGAUUCCUGGAUCCACAGAAUCAGGACUUCUGAGAAAUUUCUCUGCACCUUUAACAAGAUCCCCAAGUCUUCCUUAUGCACAUUAAAGUUUGAAAACUGCUGCUGAGCUAGAUUGCAAAGCUGAGUAGAUCAGAAGCAGCUUGUUUGUGGUCUUCCAAACUUGUCCUGAUAUUUUAACAUUAGAUUUAGAAUUACCAUUUAGUGGCAUAGUAUCUUACUCCUAUUUUCGACUGCUUCUUACCACCCCCAAUCCCUUAGCUUUUGAUUAUAAGACAGAUUUAUGAGGAUAGGUUCUAAGUCUUGAUUAUCUUAUUUGCCUUGCCCAUAGUAGUAAAUGCCAAAUGAAUGAAUGACUACAUGAAUUGUGCUCUUUUCUGAUUGUCCAUAGCACUUCAUACUACUUUUACCUGCUCCUUUCCCUUAGAAUGUCACUUGUCAUCUUAUUUUAACCAACACUUCUAUUCUCCAGUAUUCUUAGGACAUUUUUAGACCUUAAUCUAAGGGCAAUAGUCAUUAAUUUAUUCAACAAUUUAUUGAGCAGCCAUAGCACCAGAUAGUCGCAAUACAUUGAUUAAGAAGAUAUUAUACCUGUCUUCAAGAAAUUGUUAGUCAAGGGCGGACGUGCUUGCUCAUGCCUGUAAUCCUAGCACUUUGGGAAGCUGAUGUGGGAGGAUCACUUGAGGCCAGGAGUUGAGGCCAGCCAGAGCAAUAUAGUGCAAGACCCUGUGUCUAUCUUUGCCGUAUCUGCUGCGAAGCUGAGACGCACCGGAGGUCGCUCUUGUUUUCAGUUCCGUAGUCCCCGAAUUUCUGCCUAGCAUUCUCCUGUAGGAGUGGGGCUCUGUGCGAUGUAGUUUGGUAGGAAACGGUCCCUGUGCCUGGCCUGUUUACCCCAAGUGUUUGUGUUUCAGAAUGAAGACCAUUCUCAGCAAUCAGACUGUUGACAUUCCAGAAAAUGUCGACAUCACUCUUAAGGGAUGCACAGUUAUUGUGAAGGGUCCCAGAGGGACCCUGCGGAGGGACUUCAAUCACAUCAAUGUAGAACUUAGUCUCCUUGGAAAGAAAAAGAAGAGGCUCCAGGUUGACAAAUGGUGGGGAAAUAGUAAGGAACUGGCUACUGUUCGCACUAUUUGUAGUCAUGUACAGAACAUGAUCAAGGGUGUUACACUGGGUUUCCGUUACAAGAUGAGGUCUGUGUAUGCUCUCUUCCCCAUCAACGUUGUUAUCCAGGAGAAUGGGUCUCUUGUUGAAAUACGAAAUUUCUUAGGUGAGACAUUCAUCUGCAGGGUUCGGAUAAGGCCAGGUGUUGCUUGUUCAGUAUCUCAAGCACAGAAAGAUGAGUUAAUCCUCGAAGGAAAUGACAUUGAGUUUGUUUCAAAUCAGGCUGCUUUGAUUCAGCAAGCCACAACAGUUAAAAACAAGGAUAUCAGAAAAUUUUGGGAUGGUAUCUAUGUCUCUGAAAAAGAAACAGUUCAGCAGGCUAAUGAAUAAGAUCUAAGAGUUGUCCAGCCACAUGAAGACACCGCAUGAUUACUAAGAUGUAUUUGUAAUUUUGAUGGUGCAACAAAAGAGCUGUUGGUUUG